GAUGAACGCUGGCGGCGUGCCUAAUACAUGCAAGUCGAGCGAACAGAUGAGGAGCUUGCUCCUCUGACGUUAGCGGCGGACGGGUGAGUAACACGUGGAUAACCUACCUAUAAGACUGGGAUAACUUCGGGAAACCGGAGCUAAUACCGGAUAAUAUAUUGAACCGCAUGGUUCAAUAGUGAAAGACGGUUUUGCUGUCACUUAUAGAUGGAUCCGCGCCGCAUUAGCUAGUUGGUAAGGUAACGGCUUACCAAGGCAACGAUGCGUAGCCGACCUGAGAGGGUGAUCGGCCACACUGGACCUGAGCCACGGUCCAGCCUCCUCCGGGAGGCAGCGGUGGGGAAUCUUCCGCAAUGGGCGAAAGCCUGCCGGAGCACCGCCGCGUGAGUGAUGAAGGUCUUCGGAUCGUAAAACUCUGUUAUUAGGGAAGAACAAAUGUGUAAGUAACUAUGCCCGUCUUGACGGUACCUAAUCAGAAAGCCACGGCUAACUACGU
rnacentral:rRNA from 1 species